rnacentral:misc_RNA from 1 species
GGAUAAAAGUCGUAACAAGGUUUCCGUAGGUGAACCUGCGGAAGGAUCAUUAUUGGAUUUUGAAACUUCAGGCUGCUGCUGGCUCUCCUCGGAGGGCAUGUGCACGCUUGUUGUCCAUUAUUUCUCCCACUGUGCACAAAUUGUAGACCUUUCAGUAGGCCUAUGUUGUUUUUCACAAUCUCUGAAUGUAAUAGAAUGGUUUUGAAUCUUGGGAAAUACAAUACAACUUUCAGCAACGGAUCUCUUGGCUCUC